UUGACCUCAGAUCAGGUAGGACUACCGCCUGAACUUAAGCAUAUCAAUAAGGCGAGGAACAGAAACCAACAGGGAUUCCCCUAGUAGUGGCGAAUGAACCGGGAAGAGCUCAAGUUUGAAAUCUGGUGUCAACCAGAGUUGUAAGCUGAAGAGGCGUCGACCGACGACGGACCAGGCUCAAUGAACCUUGGAACAGGCAGUCGUGGAGGGUGAAAAUCCCGUCUAUGGCUUGUGCGCCGUCGUCUCUGUGUCGUGCCCUCGAAGAGUCGGGUUGUUUGGGAAUGCAGCUCAAAAUGGGUGGUAAAUUUCAUCUAAAGCUAAAUAUUGGCGAGAGACCGAUAGCAAACAAGUAGAGUGAUCGAAAGAUGAUAAGUAUCUUGAAAAGGAAGUGAAACAGUACGUGAAAUUGUUGAAAGGGAAGCGUUUGGCAUCAGCCCAUGGCGCCCGUGCAAUCGUGGGGCUUCUGCAACAUGAUAUUGUCGGGCGUCGGGCCAGCGUCGGCUCCGUUAGCUGGAGAAAGGCCUUGGGGACGUGGCACCCUUCGGGGUGUGUUAUAACCCUUGGCGUCAUACAGUGGACGGGGUCGAGGUCUGCGGUCUAACCAA
rnacentral:rRNA from 1 species